rnacentral:rRNA from 1 species
GAUGAACGCUGGCGGCGUGCCUAAUACAUGCAAGUCGAGCGAACGGACGAGAAGCUUGCUUCUCUGAUGUUAGCGGCGGACGGGUGAGUAACACGUGGAUAACCUACCUAUACGACUGGGAUAACUACGGGAAACAGGAGCUAAUACCGGAUAAUAUUUUGAACCUCAUGGUUCAAAAGUGAAAGACGGUCUUGCUGUCACUUAUAGAUGGAUCCGCGCUGCAUUAGCUAGUUGGUAAGGUAACGGCUUACCAAGGCAGCGAUGCAUAGACGACCUGAAAGGGUGGUCGGCCACACUGGAACUGAGACACGGUCCAGACUCCUACGGGAGGCAGCAGUAGGGAAUCUUCCGCAAUGGGCGAAAGCCUGACGGAGCAACGCCGCGUGAGUGAUGAAGGUCUUCGGAUCGUAAAACUCUGUUAUUAGGAAAGAACAUAUGUGUAAGUAACUGUGCACAUCUUGACGGUACCUAAUCAGAAAGCCACGGCUAACUACGUG